AAGAUCAUGGUUGGACCAUGGCAGUGUUUAUAUGUAAGACCAUAGAUGGGCUAUGGCAUUCUGAUGAUAAGACUAUAACUGGGUUAUAGCACUACGAAUGUAAAACCAUGGCAGGGCCAUGGCAAUGCAUAUAUAAGACCAUAGUUGGACUAUAGCACAAAGGAAACAUGUACCGGAGUUUCAAUCGUCUUCAUAGUAUUCCUCGAUUAUAAAAAAAAGGAUGGUUUCGACCAUCGUUUAACACUUUGUGUGAGCUUCAGUAAGGGUUUCGAUUGACUUCACUACGACAAAUAUGAAAAGGUUAGGUACUCUCUUUUGAUCAUCGACUCAGUAUCCAACAACAAUAAUCCCGAUCUCAAGAUUGGUGGUGUUUAAUGUUGUAAUGGCAUGUACCUAGGAUGUCUUUGGUUGUUAGUUGUUUUGUGAAUGUGGUGUAAAUUGAGUUAUAAGUAUAUGUUUAUGUUUGAAGCUAGUAUGCGUUUUAACCAAAGGCUUGGUAUGUGUAUGAAACUUAAAGCUUGGUGUCUUCAGUAGCUUUAUGUUAGGCUAAA